UUACGGCCAUAUCACGUUGAAACCGGUUUUUCAUCCGAUCACCAAAGUUAAGCAACGUUGAACCUGGGCAAUACCUCGAAGGGUGACUGCUUAAGAAUACCAAGUGCUGUAAG